UUCCUACGGGAGGCAGCAGUGGGGAAUUUUGGACAAUGGGCGAAAGCCUGAUCCAGCCAUUCCGCGUGCAGGAUGAAGGCCCUCGGGUUGUAAACUGCUUUUGUACAGAACGAAAAGGUUUCUAUUAAUACUAGGAGCUCAUGACGGUACUGUAAGAAUAAGCACCGGCUAACUACGUGCCAGCAGCCGCGGUAAUACGUAGGGUGCAAGCGUUAAUCGGAAUUACUGGGCGUAAAGCGUGCGCAGGCGGUUAUAUAAGUCAGAUGUGAAAUCCCCGGGCUCAACCUGGGAACUGCAUUUGAGACUGUAUAGCUAGAGUACGGUAGAGGGGGAUGGAAUUCCGCGUGUAGCAGUGAAAUGCGUAGAUAUGCAGAGGAACACCGAUGGCGAAGGCAAUCCCCUGGACCUGUACUGACGCUCAUGCACGAAAGCGUGGGGAGCAAACAGGAUUAGAUACCCUGGUAGUCCACGCCCUAAACGAUGUCAACCGGUUGUUGGGUCUUAACUGACUCAGUAACGAAGCUAACGCGUGAAGUUGACCGCCUGGGGAGUACGGCCGCAAGGUUGAAACUCAAAUGAAUUGACGGA
rnacentral:rRNA from 1 species